UUUCUACUCCCUCCGUCCGAAAAUACUUGUCAUCAAAAUGGAUAAAUAGAUGUAUCUAAAACUAAAAUACGUCUAGAUACAUUUCCUUUUAUCCAUUUUGAUGACAAGUAUUUCCGAACGGAGGGAGUAUUUG
rnacentral:pre_miRNA from 1 species